CGUUAAUGGCUCCAACGGGGAGAGGUCGGUGAGGUCAGCUGAGCAGACGUUCUCAGAAGAACCGAGGAUUCUUUCAAAGCCUCCUUAAGCGUUUUGAUUCUGCACCAUUUAAGGGGGGCUUUUGUGGCUCUAGUGUCCCUUAAAUGACAGCAGGCUG